GAGUAUGUAUUGGUGAUUCUUGAUUGAUGAAUUUCCUUUUUCUUUUUUUGGUUUUGCGAGGGAAAUCCUAUAAUUCCUAAAUGCUAGGAUUUUCACUUUUUAUUUUAAUUUGUGUCUGUUUGUUCUAUGUUUUGUUUGAUUCUGUUGGCUUGUAUGGGAUUUCUUAAAAUCCCCAAGGGAUAUAGAACCAGUAGGAUGAUUUUGCUUGUGGCUACUGUUGUCGCCAAAAUCUGAGCUAAAUCGCUGAGGUCGGAUGGAAUCUGAGGUGAAGCGGUGAGGUAUGCUCUGAGUUAAAAAGUUCUGCUGGGAGAGUCUUGGCGGCUUCGGUCUGACCAGGAUUUGUUGGGCAGGGGACUCUCUGGAUUCCAGAUGCACAGGAGAAAUUUGGGAGAGUUGCAGAGAAUGAGAGGGUGUGUGAGAUCUUAGAAUAGACUUACCUUGGGUCCCCCUGACCUCUUAUAUAGAAAGAGAGCUGACGCCCGUUACUGAGUAUGGCAGAAGCGGGGUUUUACUGAGUAUGGCAGAAGCGGGGCUUAACUGCUUGGUGAUGGUUCCAACUUGUGCAGGUGGUGAGCAUUAACUGCACUAAUUGUGUAGUAACAAAUGACCUGCCUGGGAUGAGCCAUAACUGCUUCUCAAUUGGCAGGUCUCGCCUUUAAUGGUUGUUUGGGGUGUCAUCCUAACCUCAGCUGGAUCCAAGGUUCCUAUGAGAUUGGCCGCUGCUGAGGAUGCAAGGUCUGGUCUAGCCAACCUGAGCUCAUCGACAACGAAAAGAGGGUUGGCCCAAUUAGGUAAGACCUUCUAAUCCAGAAGAAGAUCGAUCCUCUGAUGGUGAGCUAGAUAAGGCAAUCUCAAUCACAUUAGGAAGGAUCCACGUGACAGCCAGACGACAGCUAGCUUGCCCUGCAUCUCGAAUAGAAAACAUGAUUUUCAAUAGAUAACGGCUAGCGCUCAGUGCAGGAAGGGCCGUUGCCCCCUCUCUAUAAAUAGAGGAGAAAAGGGAGAUUCAAGGUAAGUUGAAACCCAUCGUAGAUGCUCCUCUCUCUGUCUCUUUUGUUCUCCAAUUAUUUACUGACUUGAGUGUCGGAGGAUUCUCUGAAAAUAAUUUCGGUCAGAAGCUUCAUUUGCAGGUUUCUCCUCCAUCGAUUGGCCCCACCCACCUCAGUUCACUCCAAUCUUGGCUGAUCUCAACUUCAGCUCGGUGUCGUUGAGUCCACCGACCUCGAAAUAUGCUUGAAAAUCGACGGCAAUAGAUUGGUGCCAGAAGAAGAAUCAUUUACAGCCCUAUUUGUGAAAGAAUCUUUUUCGACCAUCAUG
rnacentral:lncRNA from 1 species